rnacentral:rRNA from 1 species
UACGUAGGGGGCAAGCGUUAUCCGGAUUUACUGGGUGUAAAGGGAGCGCAGACGGCUGUGCAAGUCUGAAGUGAAAGCCCGAGGCUUAACCGCGGAACUGCUUUGGAAACUGUAUGGCUUGAGUACUGGAGAGGCGGGCGGAAUUCCUAGUGUAGCGGUGAAAUGCGUAGAUAUUAGGAGGAACACCAGUGGCGAAGGCGGCCUGCUGGACAGAAACUGACGUUGAGGCUCGAAAGCGUGGGGAGCAA